UUCAUCCCCUUGGAGUACCAGCCUUAAGUCGGUGGGGUCACCAGGGCUCUUCUUCUCGGAGGGCCCAUGACUUCCUCCACCAUGAAACUGUCACAAAAUCCUUAGCAUCUCAUCGCUUAGGCAAAAGCAGCUUCAAAUGCCGGACUCAUAGUCAUGGAUUUCCAUUCCCCUCUGCUCCCUACCAGAACUGUGCUUAUAAACUGCAAAGGGCUGACUUCUCUCUAAUCUGAGGGGAUGUUCCAGCUCAACAAAUGGAAAAUAAAGCCAUAUUCAGUAGCAGCCAAGGAGUCAAGGAGCUGUCAUUUACCAACAGGGUCCUCAAACAUGGAAGAAUGAACACAACAUUUAGACAAUAUAAUUUUGUUUCUUAAAUGGAAUGUCCAAUAUACAAGCAAGUUUAAAAAUGUUCACAUGAAAAGACAAAAUAAGCAAAUGUGGAAGACUAAAUCCUGCGGAGCAGGCUCACAGCACAGGGCUGCUUACGGAGAAGACAAGACGACAGGAUGCACGAGGAGAGUGUGUGACAAUGUGAUUCCCCAGCAGAUGACCUACAGUAAUGACACAGUACAGAGGGUGUCCAAAGAAACAUUGUAAGGGGCCCAUGGGGCUGUGAAGCAUUGAGAAAUCUGAGCUGAGCUCUCACCAGCCUGGUAAAUUCCACUGGCACCAAGAUGCUGAGCCAAUUUAAAUGCAAAGCAAAAAACUUGCAAUGUUUGCCAGACUCUUUAAAAUGUAAUUAUAGCAACCCAUUCAAGGAUCAGUUUAACGUAUAAGCAACUUGGAGAAGACUGCUGAUCCCAUUCAAACAUUUUACAUUCCACAUACCUACGCAAUGACAUUACCUGGAGGAUGUACUUUCUUAAUUAAAAAAAAAAGUUUUCCCCUCACAUUUUGAAAAGUAUGUUGUUAUUAAAU
rnacentral:lncRNA from 1 species